CCCUAGUAUUUUAGGUUAAUAAAAUUAGUAUAAUAUGAAAUUUAAUAAUUUUGGCGGUUAAUUGUUAUUUAGAGGAGCUUGUUUAUUGUAGUAAAUACUCUUUGUAUCUUAUUUAUGGAAUCAGUUUAUUCAUCUCCGUUAUUAGAUAUAUUAUUUAAUAUGAUUAGUAAUUCUUUAUUUCAGGUCAAGAUGUAGCUCUAUAAAGCUAAAAUUAGCUACAGUUUUUAAAAAAAUGGAUUUUUUAAGUUAGAUAGUUGAUUUGAAAUUGAAUUUAAUUGUAAUGUUAACUUAGAAUAUUUAUAUGAAUUGCAAUAAUUAAUGU
rnacentral:rRNA from 1 species